rnacentral:rRNA from 1 species
CCUACGGGAGGCAGCAGUAGGGAAUAUUGCACAAUGGGGGAAACCCUGAUGCAGCAACGCCGCGUGGAGGAUGAAGGUUUUCGGAUUGUAAACUCCUUUUGUUAGAGAAGAUAAUGACGGUAUCUAACGAAUAAGCACCGGGGAACACCUUGCCAGCAGCCGCGGUAAAACGGAGGGUGCAAGCGUUACGCGGAAUUACUGGGCGGAAAGCGCGCGUAGGCGGGAUAGCAAGUCAGAGGUGAAAGCCUAUGGCUUAACCAUAGAACUGCAUUUGAAACUGUUAAUCUAGAGUAUGGGAGAGGUAGGUGGAAUUCUAGGUGUAGGGGUAAAAUGCGUAGAUAUAAAGAAGAAUAC